AGCAGCCGCGGUAAUUCCAGCUCCAAUAGCGUAUAUUAAAGUUGUUGCAGUUAAAAAGCUCGUAGUUGAAUUUCGGGAUCAGUACGCCGGUCGUGCCUCCGGUAUGUACUGGUGUCACUGGUUCCUCCCUUCUGAAGAACCAUCAUGCUAUUAAUUUAGUGUGGUGGGAAAUCAGGACUGUUACUUUGAAAAAAUUAGAGUGUUUAAAGCAGGCUCACGCUUGAAUACAUUAGCAUGGAAUAAUGAAAUAGGACGUUGAUCCUAUUUUGUUGGUUUCUAGGAUUGACGUAAUGAUUUAUAGGGAUAGUUGGGGGCAUUAGUAUUCAAUUGUCAGAGGUGAAAUUCUUGGAUUUAUUGAAGACUAACUACUGCGAAAGCAUUUGCCAAGGAUGUUUUCGUUAAUCAAGAACGAAAGUUAGGGGAUCGAAGACGAUCAGAUACCGUCGUAGUCUUAACCAUAAACUAUGCCGACUAGGGAUCGGAUGAUGUUAAUUUUCUAAUGACUCAUUCGGCGCCUUACG
rnacentral:rRNA from 1 species